CUCAUCCUACGGGAGGCAGCAGUCGAGAAUCCUUCACAAUGGGGGAAACCCUGAUGGUGCGACGCCGCGUGGGGGAAUGAAGGUCUUCGGAUUGUAAACCCCUGUCAUGUGGGGGCAAAUUAAAAAGAUAGUACCACAAGAGGAAGAGACGGCUAACUCUGUGUCAGCAGCCGCGGUAAUACAGAGGUCUCAAGCGUUGUUCGGAAUCACUGGGCGUAAAGCGUGCGUAGGCUGUUUCGUAAGUCGUGUGUGAAAGGCGCGGGCUCAACCCGCGGACGGCACAUGAUACU
rnacentral:rRNA from 1 species